CCUACGGGAGGCAGCAGUGGGGAAUAUUGGGCAAUGGGCGCAAGCCUGACCCAGCAACUCCGCGUGAAGGAAGAAGGCUUUCGGGUUGUAAACUUCUUUUCUCAGGGACGAAGCAAGUGACGGUACCUGAGGAAUAAGCAACGGAGAAUUACGUGCCAUCAGCCGCGGUAAUACGUAGGUGGCAAGCGUAAUCAGGAUUUACGGGGUGUAAAGGGCGUGUAGGCGGGAAAGCAAGGCAGAUGUGAAAACCAUGGGCUCAACCUGUGGCCUGCAGUUGAGACUGUUUUUCUUGAGUAUUGGAGAGGCAGACGGAAUUCCCAGUGUAGCGGUGAAAUGCGUAGAUAUUAGGAGGAACACCAGUGGCGAAGGCGGUCUGCUGGACAGCAACUGACGCUGAGGCGCGAAAGCGUGGGGAGCAAACAGGAUUAGAUACCCCAGUAGUC
rnacentral:rRNA from 1 species